UGGGGAAUAUUGCACAAUGGGCGCAAGCCUGAUGCAGCCAUGCCGCGUGUGUGAAGAAGGCCUUCGGGUUGUAAAGCACUUUCAGCGGGGAGGAAGGCGUUAAGGUUAAUAACCUUGGCGAUUGACGUUACCCGCAGAAGAAGCACCGGCUAACUCCGUGCCAGCAGCCGCGGUAAUACGGAGGGUGCAAGCGUUAAUCGGAAUUACUGGGCGUAAAGCGCACGCAGGCGGUCUGUCAAGUCGGAUGUGAAAUCCCCGGGCUCAACCUGGGGACUGCAUUCGAAACUGGCAGGCUAGAGUCUUGUAGAGGGGGGUAGGAUUCCAUGUGUAGCGAUGAAAUGCGUAGAGAUCUGGAGGAAUACCGGUGGCGAAGGCGGCCCCCUGGACAAAGACUAACGCUCAGGUGCGAAAGCGUGGGGAGCAAACAGG
rnacentral:rRNA from 1 species